rnacentral:rRNA from 1 species
CAAUAGCGUAUAUUUAAGUUGUUGCAGUUAAAAAGCUCGUAGUUGGAUUUCGGAUGGGAUUUGCCGGUCCGUCGUUACGAUGUGCACUGGCCAGUCCUAUCUUGUUGUCGGGGACUAGCUCCUUGGAUUCACUUCCUGGGACUAGGAGCUGACGAGGUUACUUUGAGUAAAUUAGAGUGUUCAAAGCGAGCCUACGCUCUGAAUACAUUAGCAUGGAAUAACACGAUAGGACUCUGGCUUAUCUUGUUGGUCUGUGAGACCAGAGUAAUGAUUAAGAGGGACAGUCGGGGACAUUCGUAUUUCAUUGUCAGAGGUGAAAUUCUUGGAUUUAUGAAAGACGAACUUCUGCGAAAGCAUUUGUCAAGGAUGUUUUCAUUAA